AAAGUUCGAUCUCGAGAGUCUUGGCUGAGUCCUGAGAGUUUUUACUCUCGGGGACCGGUCCUUGAUAGGAGAGACCGGUCCCCCAGUGAACAGUGCUGCGCAGCCGGCGAGGCAACCGGUCCCUGGCAGUCGAGACCGGUCCCCGAGCGCGUCUGCGCGGGGAGAGACCGGUCCCGCGAAGGGAGAGACCGGUUCCCGAACGUUGGUUUUUCGGGGGCAGGCUGAGAGACCGGUCCCAGGUCGGGGAGACCGGUCCCUCUGGGCGAAAACUGCCCAGACCGGGUUGAUGUGAUUUUG
rnacentral:lncRNA from 1 species